rnacentral:rRNA from 1 species
GAUGCUAAUACCGGAUAACAACAGAUGAUGCCUAUCAACNGUUUAAAAGAUGGUUCUGCUAUCACUCUUGGAUGGACCUGCGGUGCAUUAGCUAGUUGGUAGGGUAACGGCCUACCAAGGCGAUGAUGCAUAGCCGAGUUGAGAGGCUGAUCGGCCACAUUGGGACUGAGACACGGCCCAAACUCCUACGGGAGGCAGCAGGC